rnacentral:rRNA from 1 species
CCUACGGGUCGCACCAGUGGGGAAUAUUGGACAAUGGGCGCAAGCCUGAUCCAGCAAUGCCGCGUGGAUGAAGAAGGUCUUCGGAUUGUAAAGUCCUUUCGGCGGGGACGAUGAUGACGGUACCCGCGGAAGAAGCCCCGGCUAACUUCGUGCCAGCAGCCGCGGUAAUACGAAGGGGGCUAGCGUUACUCGGAAUUACUGGGCGUAAAGGGCGCGUAGGCGGCUUUGUAAGUCAGGCGUGAAAUUCCUGGGCUCAACCUGGGGGCUGCGCUUGAGACUGCGGAGCUAGAGGAUGGAAGAGGGUCGUGGAAUUCCCAGUGUAGAGGUGAAAUUCGUAGAUAUUGGGAAGAACACCGGUGGCGAAGGCGGCGACCUGGUCUAUUACUGACGCUGAGGCGCGACAGCGUGGGGAGCAAACAGGAUUAGAUACCCCCGUAGUC